rnacentral:sRNA from 1 species
GGCCUCUCAGAAAUUCUAACCUCACAACUAAUUGAUCACAACCAGUUACAGAUUUCUUUGUUCCUUCUCCACUCUACUGCUUCACUUGACUAGCCUUUA